ACUGGAAUUCAGACGUGUGGUCUUCGGAUCCUUGAAGGCCCUGGCCUGUGAAGGCCCUCGCACCGCCACCUGGAUGCAAAGGCAUGUGAAGGCCCUGGCCUGUGAAAGCCCUCGCACCAGCACCUGUAUGCGAGGGCCUGUGAAGUCGUGUAAAAGUAGUAGAAAAAGUUGA